rfam:Aedes aegypti strain Liverpool supercont1.164 genomic scaffold, whole genome shotgun sequence.
CUAUCGGCCCUUUUCAGGGCCAAAAAUUGUGUACUGAAGAGUUAAU